GUAACGAAUAUUGGGCAAUGGGCGAAAGCCUGACCCAGCGACGCCGCGUGCGGGAUGAAGUCCUUCGGGAUGUAAACCGCCGUCAGGGAUUACCAAGCAAGCGGGCCUAAUACGCCCGCACGUUGAGGAGUCCCAGAGGAAGCCACGGCUAACUUCGUGCCAGCAGCCGCGGUAAGACGAAGGUGGCAAGCGUUGUUCGGAAUCACUGGGCUUAAAGAGCACGUAGGCGGGCUGCUUUGCGCUUCGUGAAAUCCCCCGGCUUAACCGAGGAAUUGCGGAGCGAACGGGCGGUCUUGAGGCAGGUAGGGGCGCGGAGAACUCUUGGUGGAGCGGUGGAAUGCGUAGAUAUCAAGAGGAAUGCCGGAGGCGAAGGCGCUGCGCUGGGCCUGUCCUGACGCUGAGGUGCGAAAGCCAGGGGAGCAAACGGGAUUAGAAACCCCAGUAGUCC
rnacentral:rRNA from 1 species